rnacentral:lncRNA from 12 species
AUGAGCCAUGCUAUUGAAGAAUAAAUAGCAGAUAUAUUUGAAGUUCAUAUAAGAGGAAAAUGAAGUAUGCAAUCCUUGAUGAAAUAAAAUGAAAGAAAAUGGGGAGAGCAAGUAUCAAUAUUUCAAAGAUUGAGAAAUAAAGCAACAGAGAUCCUCAUGAGGAAUUUUUCAACAGGUUCGAAAGUUCAGUUUCUCUCUACUCAAAGUUUUUGGUACAAGAAGAAGGAAAUGGUUGAAAUGGAAUUGGUUCAAUCCCAGGAGUCUCCUCCUCUCUUCAAUCACUGGGUUCACCAAGCAAAAGAUAAAAGUAAUGACAUACUAGAGAAGACUAUGUUGAGCUACCUUAGAAGAAACUGAAACAAGGACCUCAAUUUGCAGCUACUCAACAUAAAAAUACUUGUGAAUUAGAAGUACUAUUCAAGAGACAACAAAACAGCUUUCACUCAUCUUCCUUGUCUAUGGAAUCUUCAUGUUCAAUGGUUAAGCCAAGCUUCUGACUCUUCAAAACAGCAUAUACAUUUCCCCCAUAGUCCUUUGAAUCAUGGGUUCCAAAGUUCAGUCUGUGAAGGGCAAUGUGGGAAGCAGGAUGAACACAUUUACUUUCUUUGUAAGUAAGGUAGCUUCAAGGAUUCCUUCUUUGGGCCAUUGACACAACUGCACUCUGCAUUUGGAACAAAUGGAAAACUGGUUGUGUGAAAAUAGUGUUACAGAUAAUAGUGUUGACAGAAAAUGAAGUUAUUGCAUUGUAGUGAGUACAUGAACUCACACAGAUUGAAUUCUUACAAGAUGGCAUCCUGCCUGUAAGUGAACAUUUGACUGUAGGACCUUGACUUGUAGCAGUCAGAGGUUCAUUUUAUUUCAAAUAAUCUCAAUGUCUCAUGUGUAAAGUGGCUUGGAGUUUGAUGAAAAUGCCAAUAGAAUUUGAGGAGAGUCACUUAUUCCACCCGUAGGAAUGAGAACUACAGUUUACAAUGGUAUAUAAAGUAAACUAUAAUAGAUGCACAGGCUUCUUAUAUCACUAUCUUUUCUUUCCUACCACAGAACUCAUGUAAUAUGUGAUUUAGAGGCUAAAGACAUAACCUUGUUCUUUCUGGCUCACUAUGGUGCCCCUUGUUUCUCUUGUUCCACAUUAUCUGUACUGAGCUGCUUGGUUCUUGUUUAGUAUCAAUACUCAGAGCACAAUAUUAACAUUCAAAACCUCUACUAAGGGACACCUGGGUGGCUCAGCAAUUGAGCGUCUGCCUUUGGAUCAGGGCGUGAUCCUAAAGUCCUGGGAUUGAGUCCCACAUCAGGCUCCCUGCAUGGAGCCUGCUUCUCCCUUUGCCUGUGUCUCUGUCUCUCUGUGUGUCUCUCAUGAAUAAAUAAAUCAAAUCUUUAAAACA